UUUUUUUUUUUUUUUUUUUUUUUUCACUGACUAGGAUGGAAGUAAAAAGGCAGGACCUCGAGCAGUCACCUUGGAUCCCAAAAUGAAAGUGUUAUGUAAGUGGUUAGCAGAACCCUUUGUGACCAGCCCUGAAUAAUUGAUCUUUUGACUGUUACAUAAGGGAAAAAUCAACUUCUGCCUUUCUUAAGCCAUUGUUUUUUAUGUUACUUUUUUUCUUUUUUUGCUACAGCAGCUUAGACUGCAUUCCAACACAGUAAAGUUGAAGGCAAAUCACUUAUAGCCACAGGGGUCAUGGUAUUUGUUUUUUUUGUUUUUUGGCCAAAAUGAAAUGAGAAAUUGUCAGAGUUUUGAAUAGGGAAGACAUUUAAGGGUAGACAUGAGUACGCAGUUGGACUACAACUCAGAAAUAUAAACAAGAAGCCCAAAUUACUGAGUGAUUUAAAUAUAGAUAUAGUAUAUUGAAAUCCUGGUGUGUAUUAGAUCCUAAAAGAGAUAGGUAGUAUAAAAGAUAAAAAGGUGAAGGUCAAUAUACAGCCUGGAGGAAGUUUAAUAUAAAUAGCAACUGGUGGAGGUUAAUGAGCAAACAUGACAAAAGAAACAAUCAGAGAAGUAGAGAAAUAAAAUGCUAAUGAAACAACCACAUUUGCCCUAAUUUCUAUAGUAGAUAUUCAGAAUAUUUCCCUUCAGGAAGCUUACAUUGUACUUAUUUUUUUAUAUCUGAAUUUUAUCCAACUCUCAGAUAUAAGAAAUAUAUCAAACCCAAACUGCUAACAAUAAAAAAGGAAAAGUAUUUUAAAUACACAUAGACCCUUCAAAAUUCAGAAAGACCAUAUCAGUGUAUUAACUAGAAAAAGGAGAACGCCAAGCCAGGAUCUCAGUAAAGACCUCCAGAUGCUUUGGUAAGUGUCAAAUAGAAUGUUAGGGCUUACUUUCUCUUCCCUAGCUCUAACUGAUUGGUUUUCUGUCAUCUCGUACAUUUUCCUAACACUAGAUCAGCACAUAACAUGAAAACAUUUUCCCACAAGCUAAGCCAUUUACAUUUUAGUAAGUGGAUACUUAUCAAUCAGUGCGCUGGAAGGGAACAAAUGGCAAAUUCGAACAAAGAACUUUAAUAAAGGAUUCAUUUACCAAAGUAUGAGAAGGACCCGACACAGUGGCUCACGCCUGUAAUCCCAGCCCUUUGGGAGGCCAAGGCAAGUGGCUCUCUUGAGUGCAGGAAUUUGAGACCAGCCUGAGCAACACAGUAAGACCUUAUCUGUAGCGCACACACACACACACACACACACACACACACACAAAUUAGCCAGGUGUGGUGCCAGCUACUCAGGAGGCUGAGACACAAGGAUACCUUGAGCCUGGGAGACCAAAGCUGCAGUGAGCUAUGAUUGCACCACUUCACUUCAGCAGGGCAAGACCCUGGCUCAAAAAUGAAUAAAGUAAUAAAUAAAAAUAAAAAAGAAAAAUAAAAAACAUAUGAGAAGGUUAAAGAAAAUCAACAAGAAAUGUUACAGUACCAUGGGGCUAAUAGCAGAAGAGAACAACUGCUAUCCCAAGCCUAAUGAAAGAAGAGGAGUUAGCUAUCUAAACUGGAGAGGCAUACACACCUUGGAAAGGCUCAUGCGAAAUAAACUAGGACUUUGGGCAAAGGCCGAGAAUGAAGGGAAUAAAUAUAUGGACUUCAUUUUCCUCCUGUCUUUGAUGUUCUACCAGUAUCUCCCAUUUACCAAAUAUAACCAAAAGGCAAUGAUCAGCCCCUUUCCCUGCAAACACAUUGCAGGAGGUGAAGGGUGAAGAAUGGAUCUGGAGGUGCAAAUUGAAAAUAUAUGACUCUUCAGUACAUAAAAUAUAUGCCUCUUCAGAAUAUAUUCAGAAAAUAUAUAACCUCUUCAUUUGGUUAUAGUAGAAUGGGUACUAUAAAUAAAUGUGUUGUGUUAUUUGAACUAAUGACAAAGUAGAGUAAAUUGAACCUAUGAACAAUAUCUUAGCUUUUCCCUGGAAUGAGAUAUUUAUGGUUCUUGGUUUGAUACCCAGUGACUCUAAACUCUACAUAAAGACAUAGGACAUCUGGGCUUGUACGUUUCUGCCAGAUGGUGUGGGAUGUUCAAAGAUCUGGAUAGCUAAUUUUACACAAUAACUGCUUCUAAUAGGAGUUUUAUAUUGAAACCUCUGACAUUCUUUUACCAGCAGUUGUACUGCCAAGUCUGGCUACAAUAAAUGUGCAUGACUUAAUAGCUAAUUCUCCAGAAAUAUCACAUUUUUUUCCUUCCUUCGAAAUCUUUGUCCUAUUCUGCAGCCCGCAUUUUAAUUCUACAACAUUUUAUUCUUCUUUUGAUUAUUUUCUGCCCUGAAGGUUAGUUCCCGUUAGCCUGGGGGUUUAUAUACUAUUGUGCAUUUAUUCAGGUUAUUUGAAGUUAAUUUUUGCCAAAAAUAACAAAAGCACUGUUACUGAGGAAAUUCCAGUGGCUCCUUCUGUAUUUUCCUGGGGUCCUUUAGUACCCUUUAAACAAUGUUGCUCUCUCCUAAAAGAGUUGCUGUCGGUGCUAUUUUCUUUGCUUUUAAACUUCAUCACAGUUUAAAGAGGUUUGAAUGAUCUUCCCUCUUUAAGCCAGAACAUAGACUUGAGUUUCUUAUACUGACUAAUUUGCUGUCACAGAAAUGCUUCUUUAUACUUUACCCACAUGACAGGACAUACCCUCAAAUAAAUGAGAGAGGUUAUGGCAAAAUGCCAGUUCCCUUGAAGCACUGCCUUUCAUCUAACCCAGUUUCUACUUUCUUCCCUUGGUUUGUACCAACUUGUUUAAAAUAAAAAUGGAUUUCUCCUG
rnacentral:lncRNA from 1 species